GACGAACGCUGGCGGCGUGCCUAAUACAUGCAAGUAGAACGCAGUUGCGAACGGGGGAGUAACGCGUAGGUAAAUGCCUCAUAGCGGGGGAUAAAUAUUGGAAACGAGAGCUAAAACCGCAUACUGUGAGACGGACCUGCGUUGUAUUAGGUAGUUGGUGGGGUAAAGGCUCACCAAGGCGACGAUACAUAGCCGACCUGAGAGGGUGAUCGGCCACACUGGGACUGGGGAACCGCCCAAACCCCUUCGGGAGGCAGCAGUAGGGAAUCUUCGGCCAUUGACGGAAGUCUGGCCGAGCAACGCCCGGUGGGUGAAGAAGGUUCUCGGAGCGUAAAGCUCUGUUGUUAGAGAAGCGGUAACUACCCAGAAAGCGCCGGCUAACUACGUGCCAGCCGCCGCGGUAAUUC
rnacentral:rRNA from 1 species